UACGUAGGGAGCAAGCGUUGUUCGGAUUUACUGGGCGUAAAGGGCGCGUAGGCGGCAAUUCAAGUCAUCUGUGAAAUCUCCGGGCUUAACUCGGAACGGUCAGAUGAUACUGCUUUGCUAGAGUGCGGAAGGGGCAAUCGGAAUUCUCGGUGUAGCGGUGAAAUGCGUAGAUAUCAGGAAGAACACCAAUGGCGAAAGCAGCUCUCUGGGACGGUACUGACGCUGAGACGCGAAAGCGUGGGGAGCGAACAGG
rnacentral:rRNA from 1 species